rnacentral:rRNA from 1 species
AGUGAACGUUGGCGGUAGGCCUAACACAUGCAAGUCGAACGGCAGCACAGUAAGAGCUUGCUCUUACGGGUGGCGAGUGGCGGACGGGUGAGGAAUACAUCGGAAUCUACUUUUUCGUGGGGGAUAACGUAGGGAAACUUACGCUAAUACCGCAUACGACCUACGGGUGAAAGCAGGGGAUCUUCGGACCUUGCGCGAUUGAAUGAGCCGAUGUCGGAUUAGCUAGUUGGCGGGGUAAAGGCCCACCAAGGCGACGAUCCGUAGCUGGUCUGAGAGGAUGAUCAGCCACACUGGAACUGAGACACGGUCCAGACUCCUACGGGAGGCAGCAGUGGGGAAUAUUGGACAAUGGGCGCAAGCCUGAUCCAGCCAUACCGCGUGGGUGAAGAAGGCCUUCGGGUUGUAAAGCCCUUUUGUUGGGAAAGAAAAGCAGCAGGUUAAUACCCCGCUGUUCUGACGGUACCCAAAGAAUAAGCACCGGCUAACUCCGUG